rnacentral:lncRNA from 1 species
GAAAUAGAUAUCCUGCAGUUCAUUUUGACACAGUUUCUACGCAGUUUUGCAUUACAGCCAUCCGAUCAAAAACCUGUGGUAGAGAUUGUUUCAUGUGAUUUUUCAACUGUGUUGAGCUGAACCGUCUGAUCUAUGAUCAACGGUCCAAAUUUAAAACUGUGUGAAAACUUUGUGAAAAUCUACUGCAGGAAAUCUGCAUCCA